rnacentral:tRNA from 1 species
ACCUGGCUGGCUCAGUUGGUAGAGCAUGUGACUCUUGAUCUUGGGGUUGUGGGUUCAAGCCCCACACUGGGUA